UACAGAGGGUGCAAACGUUGCUCGGAAUCAUUGGGCGUAAAGCGCACGUAGGCGGUCCAGCAAGCGGGGAGUGAAAGCCCUCGGCUUAACCGAGGAAGUGCUUUCCGAACUACUGGACUUGAGUACUGAAGAGGGUCGCGGAAUUCCCGGUGUAGAGGUGAAAUUCGUAGAUAUUGGGAAGAACACCGGUGGCGAAGGCGGCUAUCUGGCCCGUAAUUGACGCUGAGGCGCGAAAGCGUGGGGAGCAAACAGG
rnacentral:rRNA from 1 species